AGCACUCGAGCCAUCUGUCUAGCCCAAAAAAGUAUGUUUUGUAGAUGCGGCUUGCGUGAGAUGCCUAUAUUUGCUGUUGCCUUUUACAGCGAAAUUAGGACAGAAGUGGUUUUUCGGUUCUUCAUUCUGGUGCGGCUCUGUGAACCUGCCUGCAAUGCUCAUAGCAAACAUGAGAUCUUCAUUUAUUAUUUUUGCCAUGGUACUUCUCAAUAAAAAUGUUGCUGGCUAUUCGGCUGCCCGACACUCCAGAAGGACGUGGAGGACGGUCAGCCUCUCCCCGCAUCUACCACAGGUUGGAGGCUCGUUUCCGACACGCACCAGAAGAAAGAAGGAACUGUUCGACAAGACGUCCUCGCGCAUCUAAACGAGGGUCGCCCCACAGGUAGUUAUGUGCAUUGAAAUCGCCAAGAACAACAUAGGGUUCUGGCAAUUCAUCUAUAAAGGUCUGAAAUUCAUGUUUGCUUAGUUUAUAAUGUGGGGGAAUAUAAAGAGAGGAAAUAGUGAUAAGUUUGUUUAGCAGAAUAGCCCGAACCGCCACUGCCUCAAGGGCCGUUCGUAGCUGUACACGUUGACAGGCUAUGCUUUUUUGAAUUAUAAUUGCAACACCGCCCGAUGAUGCGACAGCAUCAUCGCGAUCUUUGCGAAAUGUAACAUACUGUCGAAGAAAGUUUGUGUAUUUUGAUUUCAAGUGUGUUUCCUGUAAACACAGCACUUUUGGAUUGUGUUUAUGAAUGAGUUCUUGAACAUCAUCAAGAUUUCUAAGUAGACCUCUGACAUUCCAUUGAAUGAUUUGUGUAUCCAUGUUUCAAAUUAAAUUAGUGCUGUGUUUACGGAAACGGACGGGAUGCCUUAGAUUACAGAACCCUUUCAAGGCCCUGUAAUAGGGGUUUUGUUCUUUCUGGAGCGUUCGAGGGAGCCUCGCCGCUCCUUAGGCGCUUGGUGCGCCUUGAGGAUGGGUGUAGUGUCCAUUGCCUCUUGUGAGGCGCCGGACACGUGCUCUUGCGAGCGGGAAGUUUUCAGAGGGAGUCCCGCCUUGGAGGGCAAGGCCCCUGCGCCCACCAGCCCGGAGGUCGAUGGGGCUCCCAGAGGGAUUUGGCUGCGCUGGCCGUCGCCAGCGCUGGAGGGGCCUCGGAGGUUGGGGCAGCCUCGGCUACGCCCACCUUUGGGGUCGAUGGCUCCAUCUGCUCGGUUGGCGGAGCAGCGCUAGCUGCAACCACCGUGGGGGCAGAUGGCGUGACUGCCGACUCACUGACUGUGGGUCGGACAGCCGCCGGAGGCCGUUGUGACGCUGCCCCCUUACGCGCCACAUCGGCAAAGGUUUUCUUUGGCAGGUAUGCUACCCGCCUUCGUGCCUCUUUGAACGAUAUAUUCUCUUUUACUUUUAUAGUCACAAUUUCUUUUUCCUUCUUCCAGGAGGGGCACGACCGCGAGUACGCGGCGUGGUCCCCGUCACAGUUUACACAGUGUAGAGAGUUCUUACAUGCUUCAGUGGCGUGUUCAAGGGCACUGCAUUUGGCGCAUGUUUGGCGGCCUCGGCAGCUCUGCGAGCUGUGGCCAAAACGUUGGCAUUUGAAACAUCUCAAGGGAUUCGGCACAUACGGUCUUGUACGAAGCUUGAUGUACCCGGCCUCGAUUGACUCGGGCAGGACACUGGAGUUGAAGCGCGCAAGAAACCCGGGCUUGACCCAGACGCCCACUGUGUCCCCUGCACAUGCCCCAUCGGGUAUAAGCGCAUGUGCCUCCAGAACAUCAACACUGACUGCAUGUGCGUUUGGGGAAAGUAUCGGCGACGACACGAUGGACCAUGCAUAUCGGCGUCGGAAUGUUUUCUCUGAGUUUUUGCCAGCAUUACAUAUUAUACUUUUCGGAAUAAAUAAAAACAAAUUAAAA